rnacentral:tRNA from 1 species
GGGUUAAUGGUCUAGUGGUAUGAUUCCUGCUUUGGGUGUAGGAGGCCCUGGGUUCAAUUCCCAGUUGACCCC